UACGUAGGGUGCGAGCGUUAAUCGGAAUUACUGGGCGUAAAGUGUGCGCAGGCGGCCGCGCAAGUCGAGUGUGAAAGCCCCGGGCUUAACUUGGGAAUUGCGCUCGAAACUACGUGGCUGGAGUGUGGCAGAGGAAGGUGGAAUUCCAGGUGUAGCGGUGAAAUGCGCAGAUAUCAGGAGGAACACCGAUGGCGAAGGCAGGUCUCUGGGCCAUAACUGACGCUGAGAAGCGAAAGCAUGGGGAGCGAACAGG
rnacentral:rRNA from 1 species